UGGGGAAUCUUGCACAAUGGACGAAAGUCUGAUGCAGCAACGCCGCGUGGGGGAUGAAGCUUCUCGGAGUGUAAACCCCUUUCGACCCGGAAGAAUGCCCGCAAGGGUAUGACGGUACGGGUAUAAGAAGCCCCGGCUAACUACGUGCCAGCAGCCGCGGUAAUACGUAGGGGGCCAGCGUUGCUCGGAAUUACUGGGCGUAAAGGGUCCGUAGGCGGUGUAGCAAGUCGAUAGUGAAAUCUCUGGGCUUAACCCAGAGGCUGCUAACGAAACUGCUGUGCUAGAGUGUGAGAGAGGCGAGUGGAAUUACGGGUGUAGCGGUGAAAUGCGUAGAUAUCCGUAGGAACAUCCGAGGCGAAGGCGGCUCGCUGGAUCACAACUGACGCUGGGGGACGAAAGCUAGGGGAGCAAACAGGAUUAGAUACCCUGGUAGUCCUAGCCCUAAACCAUCAGGACUUGGGGUUUGCCCUGUACGGGGCAAGUCCCGUAGCUAACGCGUUAAGUCCUGCGCCUGGGGAGUACGGUCGCAAGGCUG
rnacentral:rRNA from 1 species